rnacentral:pre_miRNA from 1 species
ACAACAUUCGGACCGUCGGUCUGCCGAGUAAUAUCAGCCGCUUGUUGGAAGAUAUUCCCUUCGUUGU